rnacentral:rRNA from 1 species
UCGGGAAUAUUGCGCAAUGGAGGAAACUCUGACGCAGUGACGCCGCGUAUAGGAAGAAGGUUUUCGGGAUUGUAAACUAUUGUCGUUAGGGAAGAGAAAGGACAGUACCUAAGGAGGAAGCUCCGGCUAACUACGUGCC